UUUAAAUGCAAUUGCGGAUUUUCGUGUCUAACGUUUGACCAUUUGUCUUAUUAAAAAAAAUUAUAAUUAAUACUUUUAUUGUUAUUAGAUGAUAAAACAUGAAUAAUACUAUAUGCGUGACUUUUAUUUAUUUUUUUAAAAUAAAACCGAUGGUCAAACGUUGGAUAGGGAAACUCACAAUUAAACUUAAA
rfam:Oryza sativa Japonica Group DNA, chromosome 4, cultivar: Nipponbare, complete sequence.